AAUUGGAAAGCAUCAGAAGGAUACACCCAAUUGAAUGCAGAAUUCCAGAAAAUAGCUAGAAGAGAUAGGAAUGCCUUCUUAACUGAACACUGCACAGAAAUAGAAGAAAACAAUAGAAUAGGAAGGACCAGAGAUCUCUUCAAGAAAAUUGGAGAUAUGAAGGGAAUGUUUCAUACAAAGAUGGGCAUGAUAAAGGACCAAAAUGGCAGGGACCUAAC